rnacentral:lncRNA from 1 species
CUGCAGAGUGUGAAAAUCUCAUCAGAUUAAGGAACACAAAGACAUCUUUUUCAUAUUUUGAAUGUAAAACUGUUUUGGAAACUGUUAUUUUUAGAAACAGUUAAAAACAUUGUUUCAUUAGUUUUUCAUGUAAAAUUGUAACAACCAGCAUGAAAUACCUGUCAUCACAGAAGCAUGGUAUAUUGGAUUCCGAAACAUAUUCUUUGUAAGUUUUAAUAUAUUUAUGUAUUAUUUAUACUUAAUUGUAACCCAUAAUGUACAGAUAUUAUUUUUCCUUCAACUCUUAAGAAUAUUCUUAAAUAAUAAAACUAAAAUUAAUGAAUUAUAAUUUUUGUUGGUUGGGAAAAAGACACACGUGACAGUGCAUCACUUCACCUCAUCACCUCAUCAUUUCAUCUCAUCAUUUCAUCUCAUCAUUUCAUCUCAUCAUUUUAUCUCAUCAUUUCAUCUUAUCCCAUCUCAUCUCAUCAUUUCAUAUCAUCUCAUCUCAUCAUUUCAUCAAAUCUCAUUUCAUGUCAUUUCCAUUUCAUUUUCAUUAUUUCAUUUCAUCAUUUCAUUUCACUAUUUCAUUUCAUUUCAUCUAAUUUCAUUUAUUUCAUUGUCAUUUCAUAUCAUCUCAUUUCAUGUCAUUUUUGAUAUCAUUUUUCAUAUCAUUUUUCAUCUCAUUUCAUCUCAAUUCAUCUCAUCAUUUCAUCUCAUCUCAUGAUUUCCUCCUUUCUUUUCAACAUUUCAUCUCAUUUCUUCUCAUCUCAUUUCAAUUUUAUUUCAUUAUUUCAUCUCAUUUCAUUAUUUCACCUAAUUUCAUUAUUUCAUCUCAUCUCAAUUCAUCUCAUCAUUUCAUCUCAUCUCAUGAUUUCCUCCUUUCUUUUCAACAUUUCAUCUCAUUUCUUCUCAUCUCAUUUCAAUUUUAUUUCAUUAUUUCAUCUCAUUUCAUUAUUUCACCUAAUUUCAUUAUUUCAUCUCAUCUCAUCUCAUCUCAAUUCAUCUCAUCUCAUUUCAUCUCAUCAUUUUUCAUCUCAUUUUUCAUCUCAUCAUUUAAUCUCAUUUCAUUUCAUUUCAUCAUUUCAGCUCAUCAUUUCAUGUCACAUCUCUUCAUUUCAUCAUUUCAACAUUUCAUUUCAUCUCAUCAUUUCAUUUCAUCUCAUCGUUUCAUCUCAUCUCACCUCAGCAUUUCAUCAUUUCAUCUCAUUUAUUUCAUCUCAU